rnacentral:misc_RNA from 1 species
AUACAAUGUCUCACUGGCUCCGUCACAUUGCAGAGGGAGAGCCUUGUGAUACUUACCUUAAACUAUCAUCAGGUGAUCUGGCUAGAACCUCUGAGAUGAUAGAGACACAGCGGAGUACCUUUGACAGGGAUGAUGCUCUCUGUGUCCAGAACCUUCAAUCUAUUGCUGACUACACAUGUAUAUUCACUCAGCAGUGGAUUUAUUGACAAGAGUAGAGGAAGCUGUUGAGAGGUUCUUGUAUUGGGUCAAAGAAGUAAUGAUAUAUGAAGCAGUUACUUCAAGUCCCAGUAGUCAUGAUGUCCCAGUCACUGGUGGAGUAGCAUAUGAAGUGUUUGAUGACAAUGGAGUGAGUAGUAUCAAUGGUAGCAGUACCAGAGGAGGAGGGAAUACUAGCAGCUGUCAAGAGAUGAGUCAACACCAGAUACUACUAAGGCUCAUGGUGGUAAUUGCUUGUCACCCUCAAGGAGGAACAUUGGUCUUGAUGAUUCUGUUAGUGAGAAGUGGGCUCAAGCUAGCAGCCACUGCUCAGAUGCCAAAGAAUAUCUUGAGAUGAUUUGUAGAGAUUUAUCCGAUGAACUGGCACAAUUUGAUCUAAGGAAGGAACAAAAAUUGAGACAAGUUUUCGUUGAUCUUGCUGCUGGACAAAUAGAGUAAAAUGAUAAAGUGAAUUUUUUAUAUUAAGAACUGUACGCGAUCCUCCAUAGUGAAUUUUCAUGUAAAUACAGUUUGUCUCUAUUUAGCACAACAACAACAACAGGAGGAGGAGGAGGAGGAGGAGGUGACAACAAGUGAAGAUUGUUCCUCCUUCAAGAAA